UAGUGGCGAACGGGUGAGUAACACGUGAGUAACCUGCCCUUGACUCUGGGAUAAGCCGGGGAAACCGGGUCUAAUACUGGAUACGACCUUCUGGCGCAUGCCAUGUUGGUGGAAAGCUUUUGUGGUUUUGGAUGGACUCGCGGCCUAUCAGCUUGUUGGUGGGGUAAUGGCCUACCAAGGCGACGACGGGUAGCCGGCCUGAGAGGGUGACCGGCCACACUGGGACUGAGACACGGCCCAGACUCCUACGGGAGGCAGCAGUGGGGAAUAUUGCACAAUGGGCGCAAGCCUGAUGCAGCGACGCCGCGUGAGGGAUGAAGGCCUUCGGGUUGUAAACCUCUUUCAGUAGGGAAGAAGCCUGUCUUUUGGGUGGGUGACGGUACCUGCAGAAGAAGCGCCGGCUAACUACGUGCCAGCAGCCGCGGUAAUACGUAGGGCGCAAGCGUUAUCCGGAAUUAUUGGGCGUAAAGAGCUCGUAGGCGGUUUGUCGCGUCUGCCGUGAAAGUCCGGGGCUUAACUCCGGAUCUGCGGUGGGUACGGGCAGACUAGAGUGCAGUAGGGGAGACUGGAAUUCCUGGUGUAGCGGUGAAAUGCGCAGAUAUCAGAGGAACACCGAUGGCGAAGGCAGGUCUCUGGGCUGUAACUGACGCUGAGGAGCGAAAGCAUGGGGAGCGAACAGGAUUAGAUACCCUGGUAGUCCAUGCCGUAAACGUUGGGCACUAGGUGUGGGGGACAUUCCACGUUUUCCGCGCCGUAGCUAACGCAUUAAGUGCCCCGCCUGGGGAGUACGGCCGCAAGGCUAAAACUCAAAGGAAUUGACGGGGGCCCGCACAAGCGGCGGAGCAUGCGGAUUAAUUCGAUGCAACGCGAAGAACCUUACCAAGGCUUGACAUGAACCGGAAUGAUGCAGAGAUGUGUCAGCCACUUGUGGCCGGUUUACAGGUGGUGCAUGGUUGUCGUCAGCUCGUGUCGUGAGAUGUUGGGUUAAGUCCCGCAACGAGCGCAACCCUCGUUCCAUGUUGCCAGCGGGUUAUGCCGGGGACUCAUGGGAGACUGCCGGGGUCAACUCGGAGGAAGGUGGGGACGACGUCAAAUCAUCAUGCCCCUUAUGUCUUGGGCUUCACGCAUGCUACAAUGGCCGGUACAAAGGGUUGCGAUACUGUGAGGUGGAGCUAAUCCCAAAAAGCCGGUCUCAGUUCGGAUUGAGGUCUGCAACUCGACCUCAUGAAGUUGGAGUCGCUAGUAAUCGCAGAUCAGCAACGC
rnacentral:rRNA from 1 species